UUGCUCCCUGAUGUUAGCGGCGGACGGGUGAGUAACACGUGGGUAACCUGCCUGUAAGACUGGGAUAACUCCGGGAAACCGGGGCUAAUACCGGAUGGUUGUCUGAACCGCAUGGUUCAGACAUAAAAGGUGGCUUCGGCUACCACUUACAGAUGGACCCGCGGCGCAUUAGCUAGUUGGUGAGGUAACGGCUCACCAAGGCGACGAUGCGUAGCCGACCUGAGAGGGUGAUCGGCCACACUGGGACUGAGACACGGCCCAGACUCCUACGGGAGGCAGCAGUAGGGAAUCUUCCGCAAUGGACGAAAGUCUGACGGAGCAACGCCGCGUGAGUGAUGAAGGUUUUCGGAUCGUAAAGCUCUGUUGUUAGGGAAGAACAAGUGCCGUUCAAAUAGGGCGGCACCUUGACGGUACCUAACCAGAAAGCCACGGCUAACUACGUGCCAGCAGCCGCGGUAAUACGUAGGUGGCAAGCGUUGUCCGGAAUUAUUGGGCGUAAAGGGCUCGCAGGCGGUUUCUUAAGUCUGAUGUGAAAGCCCCCGGCUCAACCGGGGAGGGUCAUUGGAAACUGGGGAACUUGAGUGCAGAAGAGGAGAGUGGAAUUCCACGUGUAGCGGUGAAAUGCGUAGAGAUGUGGAGGAACACCAGUGGCGAAGGCGACUCUCUGGUCUGUAACUGACGCUGAGGAGCGAAAGCGUGGGGAGCGAACAGGAUUAGAUACCCUGGUAGUCCACGCCGUAAACGAUGAGUGUAA
rnacentral:rRNA from 1 species